AUUGGUAUGAGGAUCCUCUGCCCAAAUGAUUGACUAUGAUUAUAUUGUGCGCACAUGUAAUCCUUAUCAGAGGGUUUCGAGCCAUCUCUUGCUGACAAU
rfam:Hordeum vulgare subsp. vulgare, WGS project CAJW01000000 data, contig: morex_contig_1563021